rnacentral:rRNA from 1 species
GACGAACGCUGGCGGCGUGCUUAACACAUGCAAGUCGAACGGAAAGGCCCUGCUUUUGUGGUGUGCUCGAGUGGCGAACGGGUGAGUAACACGUGAGUAACCUGCCCUUGACUUUGGGAUAACUUCAGGCAACUGGGGCUAAUACCGGAUAGGAGCUCCUGCUGCAUGGUGGGGGUUGGAAAGUUUCGGCGGUUGGGGAUGGACUCGCGGCUUAUCAGCUUGUUGGUGGGGUAGUGGCUUACCAAGGCUUUGACGGGUAGCCGGCCUGAGAGGGUGACCGGCCACAUUGGGACUGAGAUACGGCCGAGACUCCUACGGGAGGCAGCAGUGGGGAAUAUUGCACAAUGGGCGGAAGCCUGAUGCAGCAACGCCGCGUGCGGGAUGACGGCCUUCGGGUUGUAAACCGCUUUCGCCUGUGACGAAGCGUGAGUGACGGUAAUGGGUAAAGAAGCACCGGCUAACUACGUG